rnacentral:rRNA from 1 species
CGGGGGACAAAGUGACAGGUGGUGCAUGGUUGUCGUCAGCUCGUGUCGUGAGAUGUUGGGUUAAGUCCCGCAACGAGCGCAACCCUUAAGCUUAGUUGCCAGCAUUAAGUUGGGCACUCUAAGUUGACUGCCGGUGACAAACCGGAGGAAGGUGGGGAUGACGUCAAAUCAUCAUGCCCCUUAUGAUUUGGGCUACACACGUGCUACAAUGGACAAUACAAAGGGCAGCUAAACCGCGAGGUCAUGCAAAUCCCAUAAAGUUGUUCUCAGUUCGGAUUGUAGUCUGCAACUCGACUACAUGAAGCUGGAAUCGCUAGUAAUCGUAGAUCAGCAUGCUACGGUGAAUACGUUCCCGGGUCUUGUACACACCGCCCGUCACACCACGAGAGUUUGUAACACCCGAAGCCGGUGGAGUAACCAUUUAUGGAGCUAGCCGUCGAAGGUGGGACAAAUGAUUGGGGUGAAGUCGUAACAAGGUAGCCGUAUCGGAAGGUG